GGCGGGGGAGGGGAGAGGCCUGAUCUCCCGAAGAAAAGAAUGCCUUUUAAAAUUUCAUCUGGCCCGAAGUCAGCCAAGGAGCUGAAUGUACUGGUAAAAGAAAGCGUGCACUUGUCUUCAAAAAGCAGAACAACAGCACUCGAAGAUAUUAGAGGG